AGCGAACGCUGGCGGCAGGCCUAACACAUGCAAGUCGAACGAACCUUUCGGGGUUAGUGGCGGACGGGUGAGUAACACGUGGGAACGUGCCUUUAGGUUCGGAAUAACUCAGGGAAACUUGUGCUAAUACCGAAUGUGCCCUUCGGGGGAAAGAUUAAUCGCCUUUAGAGCGGCCCGCGUCUGAUUAGCUAGUUGGUUGAGGUAAUGGCUCACCAAGGCGACGAUCAGUAGCUGGUCUGAGAGGAUGAUCAGCCACAUUGGGACUGAGACACGGCCCAAACUCCUACGGGAGGCAGCAGUGGGGAAUCUUGCGCAAUGGGCGAAAGCCUGACGCAGCCAUGCCGCGUGAAUGAUGAAGGUCUUAGGAUUGUAAUAUUCUUUCACCGGGGACGAUAAUGACGGUACCCGGAGAAGAAGCCCCGGCUAACUUCGUG
rnacentral:rRNA from 1 species